rnacentral:rRNA from 1 species
UACGUAGGGUGCGAGCGUUGUCCGGAAUUAUUGGGCGUAAAGAGCUCGUAGGCGGUGUGUCGCGUCGGCCGUGAAAACCUGCAGCUUAACUGUGGGCUUGCGGUCGAUACGGGCAUCACUAGAGUUCGGCAGGGGAGACUGGAAUUCCUGGUGUAGCGGUGAAAUGCGCAGAUAUCGGGAGGAACACCGGUGGCGAAGGCGGGUCUCUGGGCCGAUACUGACGCUGAGGAGCGAAAGCGUGGGGAGCGAACAGG